AACUUCUUCUUCUUCUGCAGUCGUCAAACCUUCAGCAGUGAGUUUGGUGAAGGUUCGGCUGAUCGAAGGUUCUGCAGACCUGUCCGACCCGACGGUGCAAGAAUCCAUCCUGCAGCAGCUGAAGCAGCAGCUGGUGGACAGAGGGAUCACAGAGGAGGUGAAGCUGAGGUGGAAGAAACAGCCUGACGGGGAGGUUUUCCACAGAGAGGACGAGGAGACAGCGCCACCUGCUGACCAUCACCAGGAAGACAGCUGCAAAGCACUUUAGAGCUUUAUCUGUUGCUGAGUUACAUUCAGAAAAAGCUUUACAGCAUAGAACAUAAAGAUGUAAGAACUGAGGAACCAAUGCAGGAGUUCAGGAGAAGUAGUAGCAGAGUAGUAAAGAGACUAAAGUAUCUGAUUAAGACUUUAUAUUAGAUAAGAUGAGUUGUGUUUGCUCUGAAUAUGAUUAAAAUGUGAGAGUCUCUCAAUCAGUUUGGUUUUGUAUGUUGAUGAUUUAGUUUGCAUAUUAUAGUUUGAGACUUUAAACUUUUGGACACUUCUGUAACUUCAGAACAUCUGUUGACCAAGAAACACAAUAAAGCCUUUUAAGUCUGAAUUUUA